AACCAAGGCAGGGCGGGCUUUCCUAUGAUUGACCGUUUCUGAAGCACGAUAUUUGUACAGUACAGUAAAUGGCUGAAACGAUAGUUACGUAUUGUAACUCUAGAUUCUAUGAGUAAAUACAAUUCAGGAAUUAUUCCUUUCUGCUUGGACUGUAAUUUUUAACUAACUGGUUCUAUUUCAGCUCAACACCAACCUUUGCAGUGUUUUGGCUAUUCAAAGAAGUGUGACAGCUGCCUAUCAUCCCCAAACCAAUGGGAAUCCAGAGGACUUCUGUGGGGUGUGCUCCUUUGCCGAAGAAAAUGCAGAUGGGAGCAUGAUUGAAAAGGUGCAUUGUGGAUUGUGCAGUAGGCGGGCACAUUUUGAGUGUGCCCAAUAUGCCCAUGAAAAUAAGGCUGUAUAUAUUUGCAAGAAAUGCC
rnacentral:lncRNA from 1 species